rnacentral:rRNA from 1 species
GAUGAACGCUAGCUACAGGCUUAACACAUGCAAGUCGAGGGACCGGCGCACGGGUGAGUAACACGUAUCCAACCUGCCCUUUACUCGGGGAUAGCCUUUCGAAAGAAAGAUUAAUACCCGAUGUAAAGGAUGGGGAUGCGUUCCAUUAGGUUGUGGGUGAGGUAACGGCUCACCAAGCCUUCGAUGGAUAGGGGUUCUGAGAGGAAGGUCCCCCACAUUGGAACUGAGACACGGUCCAAACACCUACGGGAGGCAGCAGUGAGGAAUAAUGGGGAAUGAGCGUUAGCCUGAAACAGCCAAGUAGCGUGAAGGAUGAAGGAUUAUGGGUCGUAAACUUCUUUUAUAUAAGAAUAUGUAUUAUAUGAAUAAGGAUCGGCUAACUCCGUGCCAGCAGCCGCGGUAAUAC